GUCUUUGUAGUGUACUGGAUAGCGUGUUGGACUUCUAAUCCAAAGGUCGUGGGUUCGAAUCCCGCCAGGGAUG